rnacentral:rRNA from 1 species
GUGCCAGCAGCCGCGGUAAUACGUAGGUGGCAAGCGUUAUCCGGAAUUAUUGGGCGUAAAGCGCGCGUAGGCGGUUUUUUAAGUCUGAUGUGAAAGCCCACGGCUCAACCGUGGAGGGUCAUUGGAAACUGGAGAACUUGAGUGCAGAAGAGGAAAGUGGAAUUCCAUGUGUAGCGGUGAAAUGCGCAGAGAUAUGGAGGAACACCAGUGGCGAAGGCGACUUUCUGGUCUGUAACUGACGCUGAUGUGCGAAAGCGUGGGGAUCAAACAGGAUUAGAUA